UACGGGGGGGGCAAGCGUUGUUCGGAAUUACUGGGCGUAAAGGGCUCGUAGGCGGCCAACUAAGUCAGACGUGAAAUCCCUCGGCUUAACCGGGGAACUGCGUCUGAUACUGGAUGGCUCGAGUUUGGGAGAGGGAUGCGGAAUUCCAGGUGUAGCGGUGAAAUGCGUAGAUAUCUGGAGGAACACCGGUGGCGAAGGCGGCGAGCUGGUCCAUUACUGACGCUGAGGCGCGACAGCGUGGGGAGCAAACAGG
rnacentral:rRNA from 1 species